rnacentral:misc_RNA from 1 species
GAGGCCGAGAAAGCAACUCGAAAGAGAAAGAGGGAGCUCGCCAAAAAGGUUCUAGAAAAGAAGUAAGCUACUGCUGUUGCCAGGGUUAAGGAGCUUGAAGUCGAAAAGAGAGCUUAGGUGGAAGAGACGAACUCUCCAACUCAGGACCAAGAUGAAUCCGUCGUCGUGAGAUUGGCUCCUCCUCCGGACUAACCUUCGCUUUAACCAUUG